rnacentral:rRNA from 1 species
AUUGAACGCUGGCGGCAUGCCUAACACAUGCAAGUCGAACGGCAGCGCGGGGAGCUUGCUCCCUGGCGGCGAGUGGCGGACGGGUGAGUAAUACUUAGGAAUCUGCCCAGUAGUGGGGACGAACCCGGGAAACCCGGGCGUAAUACGCGUAAUCUCUUCGGAGGAAAGAAGGGCCGUCUUCUUGUAAAGACUCUCGCUAUUGG